UGCCAGCCGCCGCGGUAAUACGGGGGGUGCGAGCGUUAAUCGGAAUUACUGGGCGUAAAGCGCGCGUAGGCGGCUAGGUCAGUCGGAUGUGAAAGCCCUGGGCUUAACCUGGGAACUGCAUUCGAUACUGUCUAGCUAGAGUAUGGUAGAGGGAAGCGGAAUUCCGGGUGUAGCGGUGGAAUGCGUAGAUAUCAGGAAGAACACCCGUGGCGAAGGCGGUUAGCUGGGCCGAAUCUGACACUCAUCCGCGAAAGCGUGGGGAGCAAACAGGAUUAGAUA
rnacentral:rRNA from 1 species